AGAGAGAGAGAGAGAGAGAGAGAUUUGAAGGAAAAGUGAAAUAAACUCUGCCAAGAGAAAGAUGCACGCAUCAAUCAGCGCAUCCAGACACUGCAAGGCUGCACAAGCACGCAACAGUGAUAUAUGAAUGAAUUACUGAAGGAGUGCGUCUGUGGGAAGACAACACAGGAGCGGUUCCACGAGUAACUUUUUGUUAUCCCGUUGGUAACAAGAAUUCCCACCUGUCAGCUGUCUGAUUUGUGAAGUGUACGUAUUCCCUAAAUGGCACCAAGUCUUCUGCUGACCAAGAUGCCAAUGACACCACUGCGGGUAAUGGGGAUGGUUGUGGGAGUGGCUGUGAUUUGCCUCUUCUUUUCAGCCUUUAGAGUACCUUCUAAGUCUUUGAAACUGGGUACUUCAUUGGAUCAACCUCCUGCUGCUGCAGCAGCUGCUGCAGCUGCUGCUCUUCAUGUAAAGCGUGAUACCAGUGGAAGAACGAUGGCAGACCCCAGUUUCUGGCACACAUUUGACUUCCAGUCAGAGAGCAUCCCUCCUGCUGUAGUAGAUGCAGCAUCAAAAGUCACUGUCAUUACCAACAAUAUCAAUAUCAUGGGUGCCAACACCUUCUAUCGUGAAGCAAAGCCUCCUGCAGAGGUGGAGCCCAGUGGAGAGGUGGUGUUGUUGCUUCAUGGUGCUGCCUUUAAAUCUGCCAAGUGGGUGGAACUCAACACAAUUAACCUUCUGGCAGGAAUGGGUCACAGAGUGAUUGCAGUUGACCUUCCCGGGUAUGGAGAGUCAAAACAAGCCACAGUGGAAGACAAGGCUGGGUACCUCCUCUCCUUGCUGACCCACCUGGAUGCCAACAAACCCAUCCUGGUCUCCCCUUCUAUGAGUGGACGAUUUUCAAUCCCCUUCAUCACCCAGAAUCCUGAAAGUCUGAGUGGAUACGUGCCAGUAGCACCCAUAGACACUAAAAAGGGCAAAGCCAAGUACCGUGAACUGCAGGCUUUGGAAAUAGUGGGCGUCAGGAACUUGGGGCGGAGCUGAGACGAACUUGGCUGCAGUCCUUCCUCAUCGCAUUGAACCUGCCACCCUGUGUAGUGGUCUCUCCUUCCUUCUCUGGAGUGUUCUCCCUUCCUAUGCUGGUGCUGCAGCCACAUGAAUUUGAUGGCUUUGUACCCAUCGCAGUGGAUGCAACAGAUGAGAUACCUGUCCACCGUCUCCAGGCCAUUCGGGUUCCUACUCUCAUCAUCUAUGGAGAGAAGGACACAGGACUUGGUCAUCUCUCCAGAGAUGACCUGUCCAAUAUUCCCACCUCCCAGGCUGUGGAGUUACCUGGAGCAAGACACCCAGCUUACCUUGACCAGACUAACAUAUUUCAUACCCUCCUCUAUAACUUCAUCAAGCAGGUUCAUGCACACCGUGCAGUUGUCUAGUCCUUAGAGACUGUUGGUCCAGUGGUACAUUGUUAUUCUUGUACUUAUUUAUGCUAUUUGUGUGAUACAUCACUAGAUUUGACUCUUUGAUAAAACUGUGGAUUCAGGGAAUGUAUUAUACCAUGUUUGAUUUUUAGGAUGUUUGCACCAGCUCCAGUCAGAUACAGUUGUUCUCACAUAAUACUCUACUCUUGAUAUUAAUAGAAAGAUAGUAGUAGUGGGUCCUGCAUAAAACACUUCCCUCUAUGGAAUUUAUACAAGUAAAUGCAAAUAGAGUAGAGAUAUUCCAUGUAUGUUUUGCAUUAAAACAAAAACAAAAGUCUUAACUUCUACUUAGCCAGUUUGUCCUCAGCUGAUGCUUGAAAUUAGUGUGCUAUCCAUUUAUUUACUAUUUAUUUACUAAAGUGGGCCUUGCAAUGCAUAAAAUUUAAGACACACCUGCAUAUAUGUAUAAUGCAUUAUCACUAAAGCAAAUCUAACUAUUAUAAGCAGGUGAUAAGUAGACUGUAAACAUGGGUAAGCAAAACAUUUGACCACAGCUGGAGUUGCCAGUAACCACAAAGAUGGUGGUGCAGGUUAAAAGGAAGAAAAUGGAUGGGGUAGCCUAGUACCUUUUUGUAGGUUUUUACUUGUAAUUCAUUAAUAAUGAUAAUUAUGUAAGUAAACAUUGUCAAAAAAUUAUUUGAUACCAAGGAUUUCAGACCAUAACAAAGUUCUAUGAGGUAGUAGCUAUCUCACAAGAGAACAGAUGGAGAAAAAUAUUUGGACUCAGCUCAGCAAUUCCAGGCAACAAGAAUUUAAGCUUUGGUUACAUUAGCAGCACCUGGUGCUCAAUACCUGAUAGGAAUAAGACACCUCAGUGUCCCACAACCAUACCAGGAAUUUUCACUGUCACUUCACACCAUGGCCACCCAUAUCCUGGUCCACCAUGAGCAGGCUGUCAAUAAUUUUUAAAACCCAUUUAGUAUUCCAGUCACUUUCUAACCAUGUAAAAUCACCUUUUGUUUUUCUCAGUACAGUAAAUGAAGGUAUAAUUGUGAUGAAUGAAUUAAAAGACUUCUAAUAUUUGAUUACAAAAAGUAUCAACUGAACUUGAGUAACUUCUUUCAUGGUAUCGAGAAAAAAAUUAAACUGGCACCAUGGUUCUGAAAGGAUACAAAUGAUUAGCAUUUGUGGAACCACAAAGUUUUAGACAUGGUGAAAUCAAAAGCUUUUCAUCUCAUCAACUCCUUUUCUUUGACUGACUGUCUUCAGCCUCCUCCUCAUUGCCACAAUGUUGCACCUCUUGCUAUCUUCUACUACUAUUUUCAUGCUAACUGCUUUUCUGAUCUUGUUAACUGCAUGCCUCCCCUCCUUUCACAGCCUCGCUGCACAAGACUUUCUUCUUUCUCUCACCCCUAUUCUGUCCAUCUCUCUAAUGCAAGAGUUAACCAGUACUCUCAUUCAUUCAUCUCUUUCUCUGGUAAACUCUGGAACUCCCUGCCUGCUUCUGUAUUUCCACCUUCCUAUGACUUGAACUCCUUCAAGAGGAAGGUUUCAAGACACUUAUCCUUCAAUUUUUCAUUACUGCUUCGGACCUUAUUCAGGGACUGGCAUCUCAGUUUUUUUUUUUUUUUUUUUUUUCCUCUUGGCUGCAGUCCCUCCUACAUAAAGUAUGCUGGUUUAAGGUGGAAGAUAAUGUUUCAGUUAGGGAUUUUUUGUUGCAGAUAUUGAUUUUUGUUCAUGGUGCCCAAAUCUGCAGAAAAGGAUUAUUAUGUAGUUGUAAAAAAAAAUAAAUGUUUUAAUUUUU